rnacentral:rRNA from 1 species
GAAUGCAUGGGUCAAAGCUCGUCCUUGUGGCGUGGCUGGACUUGUGUUUCCUAUCUUACCGAUAGUGGGGCGUAAAAAACCUCGCUUCGGAUCGUUUACUUUGAAAAAAUUAGAGUGUUCAAAGCAGGCCGUUACGGCUUGAAUAUCUUAGCAUGGAAUAAUAGAAUAGGACUUUGGUUCUAUUUUGUUGGUUUCUAGGACUAGAGUA